UACGGGGGGGGCAAGCGUUGUCCGGAAUUAUUGGGCGUAAAGGGCGCGUAGGUGGGACAGCAAGUCUGGGGUGCAAUCUUACGGCUUAACUGUAAGCUUGCCCUGGAUACUACUGUUCUUGAGUUCGGAAGAGGGUAGUGGAAUUCCUGGUGUAGCGGUGAAAUGCGUAGAUAUCAGGAAGAACACCGGUGGCGAAGGCGGCUACCUGGUCCGAUACUGACACUGAGGCGCGAAAGUGCGGGGAGCAAACAGG
rnacentral:rRNA from 1 species